rnacentral:rRNA from 1 species
CUACGGGUCGCUCCAGUGGGGAAUAUUGGACAAUGGGGGAAACCCCGAUCCAGCAAUGCCGCGUGUGUGAAGAAGGCCUGCGGGUUGUAAAGCACUUUCGGUUGGGAGGACUGCUUCUAGCACUAAUAUUGUUGGAAGUUGACGUUACCUUCAGAAGAAGCACCGACUAACUCCGUGCCAGCAGCCGCGGUAAUACGGAGGGUGCAAACGUUAAUCGGAAUUACUGGGCGUAAAGCGCGCGUAGGCGGCUAGAUCAGUCGGGUGUGAAAGCCCCGGGCUUAACCUGGGAACUGCAUCCGAUACUGUCUAGCUUGAGUACAGGAGAGGAGAGUGGAAUUCCACAUGUAGCGGUGAAAUGCGUAGAUAUGUGGAGGAACACCAAUGGCGAAGGCAGCUCUCUGGCCUGAUACUGACGCUGAGGUGCGAAAGCGUGGGGAGCAAACAGGAUUAGAUACCCCAGUAGUC